AUACGGAGGGGGUUAGCGUUGUUCGGAAUUACUGGGCGUAAAGCGUACGUAGGCGGCCCGGCAAGUGUCUUGUGAAAGCCCCCGGCUCAACCGGGGAAUGGCUAGGCAAACUGCCGGGCUCGAGGCAGGUAGAGGCGACUGGAACCUUAGGUGGAGCGGUGAAAUGCGUAGAUAUCUAAGGGAACGCCAGUGGCGAAAGCGGGUCGCUGGGCCUGUUCUGACGCUGAGACGCGAAAGCGUAGGGAGCAAACGGGAUUAGAUACCCCAGUAGUCC
rnacentral:rRNA from 1 species